UAAGGAGGAAGCCGAGCCUGGUAGGCGGAGUGUAGAGGCGGGCCUGGUGGGGAGGCGGCCAGCGCGAGGCCAGGGACAGAGGCGAGGCCCGGAGCGAGGUUUCGGGAAGAGGGGCCCUUGGAGUCCGGCUUGCUCCAGAGGGGGCGGAGGCAGCGGAUCUGCCCCCGCGCUCCACCGCCUGGCAGCGGCUGGCUGUGGAGAGGGGGAGGCCUGGAGCACCUUCCCUGCCCCGGUGAGGUCCGCGGAUGCCCGGGAGGGGAGCCCAGGACUAGCUCGUAGGUGGAGUUCCCUGGGGCCAUGGGGAGUGCAGGCGGGGAGGGGCAGGUCUGGAGGCCCCAGCUCCCUGGGCCCCUGGCCGCUGCCCACCUGCAGUCUGCCAACAGCUGGCCGGGGUGCCUGUUUGGAGGGCGGUAUUUUUUUUUUUUAAGUUGUCAAUGGACACGUGGUGCUGAGAAUGGAACCCGGUGCUUCACACAUGCUAGACAAGUGCCCUGCCACUGAGCCCCAGCCUCAGCCCCUUUAAGCUAACUGUUCUAAAUGCCUUUCUCAAAAUACAACUCCUGUGCCGCAGUCUGGCUGGGCACAAAUAACCGGGAGGUCACCAGCCACUUUAGAUUCAAGCAGGAACGAACUUUAUUCGAGAACCCAAGAGAACUCAACAGGAUCUCCACCAGAACUCAAAAGUAGCGGGCACCCGAGGUAGCAGGAGCCGCCUUAUUGCCGGACAGCAGAGGUUUAUAUACACAACUGAAUACCAGCUUGUUUCAAUUUAGCAUCAUCCAGUUACAGCAAUCAGUCAUCAUCCCAAUAAUCGUACACAGCUCAACUCAACCAUCAUCAUCUUAAUGGCUCGCUGGCGCUACCCCUCAACCACUCCUUCUGGGAAAAUGCCAGGCACCAUCUUGACUUAUUUGUGGCUCUCAACAUCUCCCCCUUUUGUUUUUAAACAACAAGUAUAUGGCUUAGGGACCCUGCCUGUCUUAGGUUGUCUAAUACUACAUAUGGUCCUUAGCUGUCAUCAGAUGAGCUGACCUCAAGGUGUCAGCCUCCUGUCUUAGGUUGGUACCAUUGCAAUUGGAUCUUACCCGUCAUUGACUACCGGCCCAGCAUUAUGUAGCCAUACUUGUGGAUAACCUGCUACAAGCAGAAAGGGGAGGACACAAAAUGCCACGACACCAAGCCAAUUGACGGACCCUUUUGGAAAAAUUGUACCACUGUUGACACCAUCAGCAAAGAUACCCCGGCUCUACCACAAUUUGCUGCACCAACAGAUAGUUCACAAUGCAUACAAGUGAUACAUAGUCCAGGCAAGUUCUGCAAGCAGUUCAAAGCAGAGGAAUCCAUUAGUAUGUCCAUUUCCUCCCAAAGAAAAUCGACUCCUUGAUUGACCAUCACUUGUUGAGUUAUUAUUCAUUGAUGCAUCAGUUUAUACAGUUUGUUGUGAUAGCUAUUGAAGAAGCUGUAGUUUGGUUUUAUCUUUGUCUUCACUGACACUGGGAUGAAGAUAGGAAUUCUGGCAAUGAUGGCUAAAAAAAAUUUAUGUUAUAUUCCAGCAGGCACUAAAAAAAAGCAAUUUUCUAAAUAAUUUAGUAUCAUGAAUAGAAUUAGAUAUAAUGAAAAGGAAAGGUAAAAGUAAACAAACAGAUCUGUUAACCACAUUUUAAAACAAUUCUCAACAGCUGUUUACCUAAUUUAAAUUAAACCGUGUAAAUCACAUGAAUAAAAAAAUAUUUGGAUCCAUUUUUUCAUGAGCGAUCCUCAUAUAUGAUAUAUGGACAUACGCACAUACAGAUAACACAAAACACAAGUGUGCACACAUAACACAAUAAUACAACACAUGACAUAAUAGUAAAGGCCUUGUAGCUUUUCACAGGUGAAAUCCCCAUUGCAAUGUUUAAAAACUCCACAGUCAAAAAAUAGAACUAAUCAAAAAACAUUAACCUAGGUCUGUAUGAGCUCAAAAAAUAAAAUAGAACUUCAUGAUGUGGGAGAGGGCAAUAAUAAAAUAGAUACUGAAAAAAGCAUCCUGGUUACCACCUGGGCUUGACUCUUCUUUUGAUAUCCAUCCCUCUUCCCGUAACUUGCUUAUGGGUCUGAAGGUAUUCCCACAAGCAAGCCACAAGGAUUUUUACAUUUGAAAUAGGCCUUAAUGGUGUUCAUUAUUCAUUAGCCUCCAGGUGUGGGAGAAACACUGUCGCAGAUGUAAGGAUAGCUAAAUUGGAGUUCUGGAUAUCAGCUGUUAUGGAUUUGAGCCAAAUCAUCUUCUUUUUGUUCUGUAGAAAUCGCUUUAGUUAGUCUCUCUGGAAUCCAAAUUGGCUGCUGUUCUCCCUGUGGAAACACACAAACAGACCCCCGACACCAGACAAUCACUGGGUCAGGACCUUUCCAUUGUCCUGUUAGAAUAUCCUUCCAAAGUACCUUGGGCUUAUGUACAUUUUUUGGACACAUAUGCCUUUCCGUAGCACUAAGCCCUGAU
rnacentral:lncRNA from 1 species